AAAAGAGAAAGAAACCCAUCAAAAGGUGGAAGGGGUUUCUCUCUCUUUCUUUUCUUUCUUAUCUUUCUUAUCUUUCUUAUCUUUUUUUUCUUUUUUUUCUUUUGAUAAUAA
rnacentral:ribozyme from 1 species